GGGAAGAAGAGGAUAACUUGCAGCGGCGGGGGCUCUUAGGACGUGCUCGGGUGGCCGGAGGAGGCAAUCGGGGCCGUCCAUCAUAUGCAACUGCGCUCCUAUCGUGCGCCACCGUGUUGCGGGCCGUCCGAUGGAUGAUGCGCCGGUGUCUGCCGGCACCACGGCCAGCUUGUAUAUGAGGCUCGGACUGGCCCUUUUCUCCUCGGCCUCCUUUCUGUUUAUGUUCUACAGCCAGGCCGCCUUCUGAUUUCGGUUGCUAGAAAUCAUCGUGCAAGAAUGGAGAUGUCGAUUAUAGCUAAGGUCUUCGUCUCUAAGCUCCUUAAUGGCCUGGCCGCUUUGGUGGAGGACGAGGUGGCCAUGCUCUGGGGUGUGAAGGGCGAGAUCAAACGACUCCAAAAAGGCCUCGGAACAAUAAACGCUGUCCUCGCCGAUGCUGAAAGUAAAAAGAUUGAGAGCAAAGCCAUAGACGACUGGCUCAGGAACCUGAAGGACGUCAUGUACGACGCUGACGACAUCCUCGAUCAGAUCGAGGCCGAGAAAUCUAAAGCUGCAGUCUCCUCGGGACGUCAACCUUGCUCUUGCCUCUUCUCUUGCUCUUGCUUUGGCAAGACGGUGUUUGCUCAUCAGAUUGGCAGGAGAAUCAAAAGCCUUAAUCAUAGGCUGGACGACAUCUUGACAGCUAGUAGUAAAUUUAAUCUCCAGCUCGUUUCCGCCGACCGCGGUGACCACCGAUCCACUUCUCGAGUGGGCAGGAAGACAUCUCCCGUAGCUGAGCCUGAUAUUGUAGGGUCCAAUAUCCAGAAGGAUACCGACAAGCUGGUGAAGUUGUUGAUCAAGGAGGAUAGUCGGGAAAACAUUCUUGUAUAUGCCAUCGUAGGAACUGGGGGAAUUGGCAAGACCACUCUUGCUCGAAAGAUUUUUAAUGAUGAAAGGAUAACAACCAAGUUCCCGAUGAAGCUUUGGGUCUGCGUGUCCAAAGAUUUUGAUGAGAUCAGUCUACUGAAAGAGAUCAUCACUCAUGCGGAGGGCGAUUCAGGAGGCGCUUCUAGCAGGGCACAGCUCGAGCCCAAGGUGGCAAAUACUGUGACAAAUAAGAAAUUUUUGCUUGUCUUGGAUGACAUGUGGGACCCAAACGUAUGGAAUGAUUUACUCCGAAACCCCCUGCAGAGUGGGGCAACUGGAAGUAGGGUCCUUGUGACCACAAGAAACCAAAGGGUUGCAUUGCAAAUGAAGGCUGUAGAAUCUCAUCAAGUGGCGGUCUUGUCUGCUGAAGAUGGUUGGGCACUGCUGCUCAAGAAGGUGGUUUUGAGUGGGCAGGAGGGAGACAUCGAACAUUUAAUGGAUAUCGGAAAGAAGAUUGUUGAGAAAUGUGGUGGUCUCCCUCUUGCUAUUAAGACCAUUGGAGGAGUAUUAUCCACGAAGAGCAGGACAAAGAUGGAGUGGGAGAGAGUGCUUAAAACCCUUUCAAGCAAUGCUUGGUCUUCUUCGACCCACUUUCCCGAAGAGGUUCAACCAGCGCUAUGGUUGAGUUAUGAAGACCUGCCAUCUCAUCUUAAGCAGUGUUUUUUAUAUUGCUCGUUGUUCCCUGAGGAUUAUGAAUUCGAUCGUGACAAACUAAUUUAUUAUUGGAUCUCUGAAGGGUUCAUCCAUGAAGAAGGAGAGGUGACAUUGGAAGAGUUAGGUGAAGAUUGUUAUUGGGAACUUAUUCAGAGGAGUUUUUUGCAACCACAUCCCUGUACUGAAUACAAGUUUCCUAAAUGCACCGUGCAUGAUCUACUAUGGUCCCUUGCUCGGUUUUUAGCAGGAGAUGAGAAUUUGGCUGUGAAAGAUGGGGUUGAUGUCCCAAUUAAUUCAUCUUCAGUGAAGACACGUCGCUUGCGGGGUCGUGUUACAGAAGAAAACCGCCAAGCAUUUAUUGGUGCAUUGGAAGGGCACAAAUCCUUGAGGACUCUGCUGCCACGCUUGGCCUCAUCACACGUGAUGCAAGAGAAUGAUGCCAAUAAUCUGAUUAAGAAGACACCGCGUCUAAGAGUACUAGACUUUUCAUACUCUUCGAUCAAAAAAUUGCCAGACUCCUUGGGAACUCUCAUACAUCUACGUUAUUUAGAUCUGUCAUUUUCUGGCAUAUGUGAGCUACCAGAGAGCAUAGGAAACCUUGUAAAUCUGCAGUUCUUGAUCCUCCAGUCUUGCGAAUCUCUCCGCAGCCUUCCUAAAGGCAUCGGAAAGUUGCACAACCUGCGGUGUCUUGACCUUUUUGGAGCAGUACUGGAGGGUAUACCUAUUGAAAUUGCAAACUUGCAUCGACUUAACACACUGACGGGUUUUGUGGUCAGGAACAACAGGAGCGAUAGUGGUUGGUGUACGUUGGAACACUUGAGAUCUCUAGGAAAGCUUAAAGAGCUCAGUAUCCAGAAGCUGGAAAGGGCAUUGAAUGAGGUUGAGGUUGGACGAGUAAAUGCACUGAGGGACAUGUUGCAGCUUAAAGUGCUAAAUUUGUGGCGCGAACCUCCUACAGUUGAUGAUGAUGAUGGACAAGCAUUUGGCUACAGCGAAGAAGUGAUCAAAAAAAUUGAGAACAUCUUUGAGGUGACGCUCUGCCCACCACCGCACCUAGAAUCUCUUUCCAUCCGAGGUUUCUUUGGACUCCAUUUCCCGAGUUGGAUAGCAUCUAGCAGUACUGACUUGCUCCUCUCCGAUCUAAGACGGUUGGAGCUCAUAGGGUGUGACAUUUGCCUGCAACUUCCAUCACUAGGGAAGCUCCCAAACUUGGAUUCCCUCUGGAUACAUGGAGCAUCUGCUGUCAAAAAGAUUGGGACUGAAUUUCUGGGUCAGGAAUCUGAUUGUAGCAGGGAUCAAGGUGGCAGGAUGCAAAUUUUUCCAAAGUUGACAACAUUGGUAUUUGAACACUUGGACGAUUUGGAAGAAUGGGAAUGGGAGGUGAAGGAUGAUGACAGACUGAUAGCCAUACCAAAGUUAGAAGAAUUGACACUUUAUGCUUGUCCAAAGUUGAGGUCCCUUCCUUCUGGCCUUGUUCACCAUGCUACUGCCCUAACAAUGCUGAAGAUAACAAUGUGCGAUAGUCUAAAGGCAAUCAGGAGCUUUUCCUCCAUCAAACAUUUGGAAAUAUCUUACAAUCCUAAUAUAGAUGUUGUUUCAGAACUUCCUAGCUUGCAAACAUUAAGCCUGAUAAAUCCUCAAAUGCGGGCCCUACCAGAGGGGUUACAUGGAGGACAACCCGACUUCCUUGCACUCAACAAGCUUGAGAUCCUGGGCACUGACCAACUACUCCGCAGAUGCCUCAAGGAUGGCUUAGAUUGGCCCAAGAUUGAACUUAUCCCCUAUGUAAAUGCCAAAGAUUUUUAUGGAUCCGGAUACAUCUCCAAGAGUCCCUCUGCGUUCAGCACCAACUUAACUGAUUAUGUUGAAGAUCAUGAGUAGAGCACACAUGGUUCUUCCUUCGCAAUGAGGAAACUGUCAGCAUGGAGUAGGUGAAUUCUUGGAAAAUUAUAUAUGUUCAUGAUGGAUUUUAUGCAACCAAUUUGAGGACCUUGGAGGAAGAUAUUAGUGCUCUAACUUUAUGAUAGGUCUUCAUGUAUCAGCAGGAACUACCUUUCAUCUGUUGGCAUGUACUUAAUGGCUGUUUCACCCAAAUACUACUUUUAUAAGACCAAGUAAAUUGGAAUUCUGUAUGUUGGUUAUGAACUCAUGCAAUGAUACUAUGAAUAUGAUGGUAUUUCUUUUUAUAUUCUAA